UCAUCAGUGAGGUUGUUCCUUACCUGUUCUUCCUUAUGGAGAAACAGACAUGAUGACUGGGGGAGGCUGAGUAUGUUAUUAUACAGAUCCCUUGCACCAUCCUGACUGACAACCGGGGUGUGUGUUAUUCUGAU